AGAAUAGAAUGCCUCUUCCUCCAUUCUUUGUUAGGCUAACAUCUCAUCUUACAAGCCAUGCUCAGGUGCCAUAGUUCCAGGAAGCUGUCCCUGCCCCCAUAGCCAUCCCUCUUGGGGUCUUCCUCUGGGGUCCCAUAGCACUCUAAGCUUACCUCUAUCCUAUUAAAUAAAAGUCACCUGCUUAUCCGCCAGCCUCCCCCUUGAGGAUGUGAACUCUCUACAGAUAGGGAGGGAACUGUCUUCAUGACCUUACCAAGCAUACAGCCUGGCACACAAUGGCACACUGAACACACGUGUGUCGAAUGAAUGAAUACGCUACACUCUUGUAUGGGAGUGAGUCCCAUGAAAUGAAGCUGCUUUCCGAAAAGUAAAAGGAUACCAAGAUAGUUUCAAACAGACAUACACUGUCCCAGAAUUCUUCCUGAAGCAGACGGCGUCACAGCAAGGCUGCAAUUAUAGACAUGCGCACACAUUGUUUAAAAAAAUUCAUAGAAUGCACUUCACACUGACUUUUUUUUUCUUAUUGGAAACCUGUUUACAAUCUUGUCCACUGUCAGUCUUAAAUGUCACUUUUCAGAAAGCUGGCUGCUGCCAGCAGAAAUUUAUUUUCAACUUGAAUCACAGCAUGUUCAUGCAGAGAAGCGCCUCUUUUGAAUCUCCAAAUUGGAGGGAAUUCAGGGAAGAGAAAGUGAGGUGAUUAGAAUCUGCAGAGGCCGACUCAGGAAGAAAAAUUAUGAGGCUAAAAUAUGCAUGUGUGAGCUAAACAGCAGCUAUUAGUUGGUGGAGGUGGCAAUGGUGGGGAUGGCAACUACCUAGAAACCUACCAGGACAGUGAGGCUGCAUAGCAACACGUGGAAACAAGGAAGCGGGAGCGGGAGGAAGAAACAGUGAGGGAAGCCCAGGCACCAGGAAGGACGCGUGCAUUUACAGACGGCCCUCCUGUGCCAGGUGCUGCCGAAGAGGCCGUCCUUCACUCAGCCUUUGCCCAGCAGCUAUCAUUAUUCCUAUUUUAAAGGUGAAGAACAGAUGAAGAAACUGAGGCUCAGAGGUUAAUUUGCUUUCCAACACAGAGCUGGGCAAAUGCCUCCUCCUCUUCCUUCAAGGCCCAGCCAGUGUUGCCUCCCAUGUGACCUGAAGCCUCCUUCCCGGAACCAGCGGCAGAGCACCCACAGACAUCCAGCCAGCAGCUCCCACAGGGUGUCCUCCUGCUGGGUACGGGGCAGCCUCUGCCACUAGAUGGGAUCUCAAGGCAGACACCAUUACUCAUUCACCUCUAGAUCCUAUCCGCCAGCACAAGGCUUAGCCUGGACAGGGCUGCAAUGAAUGCUUGCUGGAGUAAACACAUGGACAAUGGAGUCAUGAUGUGAACCCUGCUUGUUCAAUUGUGAGACAGUGCUUCCCCCUCCCCCAGCUGCCUCCGAGCCUCCCUCUUGUUCUCCCUGGAGGGAGUCAGGCUGGGUAGCAGAAGUGGUUACAAGACCAGAGGGAGCAUGGACAAUGGUAAUAAAUAUGUAAAAUCCAGAAUUCAUUACAUCCAGCUAAUUCCAAAUGCAAAAGACACCACAGCCUCUGAGACAGAUCCCAAUGAGGGAGUCUGAUUUGUAACUGACAAUUUGAAAAGUGGACCAGAAUUGUUUGGUCUAAAUCAUGAAAUCAUUCUCUUCUUGAUGGGCAAGAUUAGUAAAUACACAACCUCUACUAAUUUGGGGCUCAAGGGCUUAUCCCCCAGCCUGCCUCAGUUUUAGUUCUGUAAGAGACCCUCUGUGAGGUCCUUAGGGGGCCUCCCCACUCCACGUCCCUGGACUAGAGACCCUCUGGACAUGAACCUCAAAUCUCCAAAGCAGAGGAUGUAGUUCUCUUAAGGAGACAGCAUUAAAGCGAGACGUUAACAUUACAUAAAGUAAACUCUGUCCUCUGGGGGAGAGAUGCUCCACAAACCGAGAUAAAGCCACAGGAAACUGCUGUGUAUUCCGCCUUUGCGGCACAUCUCCCUUUGGGCGAGGCACAUUGCAAGUGCUCUGCAGCCACAUGUAGCCAGAGGCCACUGUACUGAAUGCGACAAGGCUGGAGUAGGGGUGGAGAUAAGUCCACUGCACUGUGUUCUCAACAGAACCACAUCCAGAAUAUCUGGUAUUUCAGGCCUUUUAGGAGGGACAAUGAUAAACCAGAGCCUGGCUAAGACUAUCUGAAGGACUGGGAGUGAGAACGGUUAGUGGAAAAGAACUGGAUCCUUCUAGCACUAGUGGGGAAAUCACCAGCAAUGAUCCGGUGUUAUGUGGCUGCAGAGUGCAGAACUAGGACUAGGGCAUGAAAACUGUGAUGAUGGCAUUUGGGCCCUUUUUAGAAUGAGGUUCCCUGACACCAGAAGGAACGGUGUAGGCCAAGGCCAGACAGCCUGCAAAAGAGGCUAUCUGUGUGGAUAGAAAGCUGAUGUCCUCUCUGAUCUGAGGCUCUGAGAUGCUAAGUAACAACAUGAAGGAAAAUGACUGGCUGCCUAGCCAACAAACCAGAAUGUACACACCCAGAGACAUUUCCUCCUUCAGGUAGUCUUCUGGGAGGUCAAGGCUUGUUCUGGCCAGCCUCACAGGUAAUUCCAGUGGCUGGAUACCCGCAUUGUGGGGCCUUACCUUGCACAGCUGCUGCCUUCAAGGAGCUUAUAAGUGAGGGUCUGCCAUGAACGCUCUAGUAUAAUGUUAGCUUGCUGGGUCUCAGCUGACUAGUCAACAGAAAGAAGAAGAAGGGUCUCUGAGCUCCUCCCCACUUACAGAUCCUGUGUGACUGCUCUUCCUGCAUCUCACAGAAAAAGAACAUUUCCAGUUGUUCUCACGGACUUCAAGGCUAGAGGUCCUCCAGCCCAUCCAGGACCCUGGGAGCCCUAGAUCUCUCCAGCACUCUCCUUUGAAUGUCUAUCUACUAAUCAUCUCUACCUGAAUGUGCUGUGUCAACAUCAACGUGUCCCAAACCAAACUCCUUCUGUCCUCACCCUCCAACAUACUCCUCUGUAACCCUAGACUUGGGUGGAGUGGGAGGGGAGUUUGCUAUUGGGCCAGUUGGCUUUGUCUUUGACCACUGGGUGCUGGAUCUUACUACCUUACGGGAGAGGGACACGUAACUCUAAAGAAACAGCUGGAAGAGAAGAUUUCCGAGGGACUCCUUCAGAGCAAGAGAGGAAGACAGAGAUGAAUUCUACAUAGAAAGCCUGAGAAGGCCUCUCAGAGAUGGCUUCCUUGCCCUCCCCAGAUGUUCACAGGGUUAACUGUGAGUUAGGCUCUGUGCUGGGCACUAGGGGCCACCAAGGACUCCAGCGUGGCUUCUGUUACUGAGGUGCUUUCAGCCUCAUGGGAGAGACAGACAGGCACAUGAGGGCACUGCCUGGCCCAGGUGUCAGGACAGAGGCUUGCUGGGUAUAAAGGAGGCACAAAGGAAGAGAGGGGGUCACUCCCAGGCACACAGUCAGGAAGAGCUUCACAGAGGACCAGAGAGGGAGGGAAGCGUGUGCUGAGCCUUGACAGCCUGGCUGGGCAGACCACAGAGGGUGUUCUAGGCAAAGAGAAUGCAGGUGGGAACAGCCCAAGGCACUCAGGAACAUAGCUGCACCAGGGGACUUGGAGUGAUGGGAGGAGAAUGUGAAGGGAAUUGAAAGUGGAGAUCAUGGGCCAGGUUGUGAAGGUCUUGGAUGCCAGGCCAAGGAGUGAGACACCAUCAUAUAGGGACUAGGGGACAUAGGAGAGUUUUAGGAUGAGAUCUGUCAGGAGUAAUUGUACACUUUUUUAAAUACAAGAAUUUUUCUUGUUCUGCCUUCAUUUUAGUAAAAACGAAGCAUCAUGGAGCUGGCAAAUCAUCUCUGCAUCCCAAAGACAGUGCGACAUGUGAUAAUGACUGUGAAGCGCAGCUAAGCCCGUUAGCAGGAAUGACCAGGGAGUGAGAGGCAGCGCUGGAGUGUCACCCUCCAACAUCGUCUCUUUGUUUGAGGAUCACUAGGAAAGGAGCCAUUAGAAAAACGCUAGCCUGGUAAUAGGAGGGAAAUGGAUCUUGGCAGGGCUGUGUUACCCAUUGAGAAAUUAGCAAAAAACAUUCAGGGAAGAAAGCAGGGGCUUCUGUGCUUACCCAUUGAGGCUCUUGGGGAAUAAUGACACAUGGUUACCACCUGAGGAACCCCUGCUGAGGCAGCUGACUUGCCCAGUGGUCUACUACAGGCUCAGGUGAGUAGGAGGGUCCUUCCCAGGAGGGGCAGUGAUGCUCAGGCAGGGCUGGGAUGCUCAGGCUCCUUGCAAGAGCUGAUCCUCAAGUCUGAACCACUCCCCAGGCACUGUGUCAGGUACUAGGGAUGGGGCCAUGACUAAGACACGGCUUCAUCCUCAGGAAGCUCACACUCCCUGACAUGGUGGCACUGGAGCCUUGAGGGAGGCAGGACAGACCUCAUCACCCCCAUUCCACAUCUGUGGGCAACCAGGGAGGUUGGGGGGAGACUUGGUUUCUUUGUGAAUCGAUUCUUUGCUACUUUGCUUAGCAUCAAGUUCCUCUUGUCAUGGCAAUCACUCAGAAUACUGAGAGGGUGAAAGAGGAUGGGCGGUGCAGCGGGUCCGGAUGAAAACUUGGAGGGGUGGGAACUGCUAUGAUGUCAACUGACAGUGCCCAGAGAGCGGGGCCAUCACACCAGAAAUGCCUGCUCCAUUGCCACUUCUCUCAGAUGUCAGACACUCCUUCAUCCAGAAGACAUCCACAGAGUGUCCGUUACAGGGAGUCCCUGCCCUAUGCUCUUCCAUCCAGUGUGGUGAAGAAUCUCUAGUCCCCAGAGGAAUUUGGCUUGGAUCAGGGAUCUGAUUUCUGGGGGUCAAAUUUAGACACUUUGCCCCUAGUGGUACCGAAGAAUAGCCCGAGAAGCCCAGCUGCGGGUGAUGAAUUGUCACUCAGGGACUACGAGUGGAGGCUGCCAGGGCGGAGGGGAAGGCAUGCACGCUGAAGCACCAGGCGACCAUUGCUUGGACCGCCCCCUCCAUUGCUUCACCAAUAGCUUCUGGCUCUCUUUCCUGAGAGCAAUUUGAAAGAAAAGCAAACAUCUUGGGAGAAGCUGGGAUGAUCUGUCUCUAGGACUCUAAAAAGACUCUGAGGUUUCUGGGGGGAACUUCUCUGCACCAGGGAUGCUACAUCCCAGGAAAACAGGGGUCUGGGCAAGUAGCCAGAGGCCCCCCACAUUUCCUAGAAGAAUGGCACAUUCCCCUAGGAAAUUGCUUUGAGUGGGCAGGGCUCAGGGUCUCUCAAAUGACAGCUGCUUCACUGUCAGGCGUUUUCAUGUCACCUUGUACUGCUGGAAGAGGCUCCAAAGAUGAGGCUGGAUGGCCUAGAGCUUCCUACUUGCUAAUAAAACUGACUUUUUUACACUGGCUGUCCAAAGGAACCUGGAGCAGUGCGAAGCAUAUGGGCCUGGAGUUGGCCUAAUCUGAGUUUAACUCCUGGUUUUGCCAUUCCCCGGAAGUCUGGAGGUCCUGGGAAUACACCCGCACCCUCUUGGAUCAAACCUGGGCCAUCUAUGAAGCUGGCAUGGUGGGGGUACGUCAGUUUCAUAGAUGAGACAACUGAGGCCAAAUGACUUUUAAGGGAUAGACCUAGGACUAGAAACCAGGACUCCUGAUACUGAGUUCAAGAUUUUCCAGAGCCUCUUAGGAGCCUUGGUCAGGGGUGGCUCAAGGUUACAGAACACACCCUUAAAAGUGCAGCUAAGAAUACGAUUUCCUUCUGGUCCUCAGAUGGAUCUUUAAGCCAGAUCAUCCCUAUUAAAGGAAACACAGUCUGAUGAUCCCAUUUCCUGGCCUAUGCACAAGUGCCUACUCUGCCUAGAAGCCUUACCCCACCUUCUAACUAUUCAAUAAGCUCCUAAUCAUCUUUUAGGACCUGCCUCACUUAUUACCUCUUCCACUGAGAAGCCUUCAGGCCCUUUUUUUGUACUUUUUUUUUUGAGACAGAGUCUUACUCUGUUGCCCAGGUUGGAGUGCAGUGGUGCAAUCUCAGCUCACUGCAACCUCUGCCUCCCGGGUUGAAGCGAUUCUCAUGCCUCAGCCUCCUGAGUAGCUGGAAUUACAGGUGUGUGCCACCACGCCAGGAUAAUUUUUGUAUUUUUAGUAGAGACGGGGUUUUGCCAUGUUGCCCAGGCUGGUCUUGAACUCCUGACCUCAGGUGAUCUGCCCAUCUUGGCCUCUCAAAGUGCUGGGAUUACAGGCACGAGCCACUGCACCUGGCCUUUUGUACUUCUCUUGUAUGUCUAUCUAUUAUGACCCAUCAUUGUCUCUUUCUCUCUCUCUCUCUCUCUCUCUCUCUCUUAUAAUGUCUGUUUCCCUCACAGGGCUUGAGGAGUUUGGGGACAAGGGGCCAUGCCUUAUUCACCUCUUUAUCACCAGUAGCCAGCAGUGCUGGACACUGGGAGCCAAACGAAUGUGUUGAGUGCAUGGUCUCAGUAAAUCCAGGAAUUCUGAGAGCUGGGAAUAGCUCUGAGAGGAUGAGCUUUCAUUAACACAUGCAGCUCUUCCCGCCUUGGGUGGACAUUCAAAUGGCCCAUGUGGCUAAGUCACAACACCACGAGUCAAAGGCCCACUUUCCUUCUCAAAGGAAACAUUUAAAAAACCACGGGUGUUACAAAUGGCCACUUUCUCCAGGAUGAAAGACAUCUGGGGGAGGAGGCAAAGAGGAGAGAGCAAAAUAUCAGGUCUGUGUGGUCACAGCCCAUGAUACUUCUACAUCUUGAGAGAACCCACCGAUCAAUAUGAAGCAAGUGAUUUCUCAAUUCCUUUAGAAGGACCGUAGGUUAGACUGUUAGAUUCUUUUAAAGACAAGCAAGAAUCCUGCUGUUACAGACUCCUCCAGUUCUUGUCCAUCCUUUUUCUUCUAACUCCCCACACUAAGCUAUCUUCAUGGCCCAUGACACGUAUGGAAAGUAACUAUCCAAGUAUUUUAAAGCACUAUUUUCCUAUUGUUAUAAUGGCCCCAAUAAGGGCACCAUUGUUCCUUAGCGGUAUACAUGCUUCAUUCUAGUAAUUAGCUGUCAGAGAGGACCCGACAGCAGCUUAAUGUUGUCCGCUCAAAUCAUAUUAAUGAAAUGCAAUCCACUCAAAUGUCCUGAAUGCAUAUCUGUAAUUGCGUUAAGCAGAGAGGCUGGGGACAUCAGGAUCAAACUUCAGUCUCUGAACAGAGCAUUACGAUCAAGCACAUUAAUCCAUUAUUUCUUCAGAAUCUGACAGCCAAUUAAUAUACCCGGCCUUCAUA
rnacentral:lncRNA from 10 species